UUGAAUUCCUGACCUCAGGUGAUCCACCCACCUCAGCCUCCCAAAGUGCUGGGAUUACAGGCGCAAGCCACCAUACCCGGACCGAGUAUAUUUCUAUGUUAAAGAAUUGGAGUGACAAAGAAGCUACCAAGUCUUCCCAACCUAGGGCAGGCAUGAGGGCAGAGUUAGAGAUUGCCUAAAAUUGUGUUCUUUGUCAUCUAAAACAUGAAUAAGCCAAAGUUCCUGACCCCAAGGUGACUAAGGUCUGAUGGGAAAGAGAUAUGAAAAGGGCAGUUAUAAUGUAUAGAGGAAACAUGAAACUUGGCACUUAGGGACAUGUGGGGAGAGGGGAACCUAUAUCCACCCAUGGAAAGAAUGGAAAAAAAAAUCAGGAAAGGGCACUGAGAGGUGCAAGAAACUAGGAGGCUAGCUAAGCUGAUGGAUGAGUAAAGAAAGGCAUUCCAGGCAGAAUGGAUGAACAUCAUGUACACAGGCCUGGAGGUAAGGGUACUUCAUGAAAUCCAGAGUGUCUAGAGCAUAGUGUAGGUGAGGAGAAAAGUGGCAGUAGGUGAGUUGGACUUAAGAUUGCACAAGACCUUCAACUCCACGCUAAGAUAUGCAGGGGAUUCUGGUGACAGGAGGAAGCCUUGGAAGAAUCUUGAAAAGGGAGAGGUUGUGGUCACAUUUGUCCCUUAGAAAUGGAGGUCUGGCUGCCUUUCAAAGAACUGAGGGAUGUGAACAAGACUGUGGUUGGGAGCUUCUGCUUUAAAAUAUGCACACUCCUGUCUCUGUUUUCCAAGGCACUCAUGACUUUGAUGUUCCUUUAGCUUAAAGCCAUAUAUAGUCUGCUCCUGGCAUUAGGUGACAAGAUGUAAUUGUAACACGUGUAAAUCAGAUUUUGCAAUCCCGUUCUGUAGACAACCAAACUGAGAUUGAUGCAUUUCCAGUCUUUCACUUCUGUAAAGAACACAGCAGGGAACCACCUUGUACAUACAUCUUUUAGGCAUUUGUCCAAUUAUUUCCUUAGGAUAAAUUUCUAGAAACGGGUUUGGUGUUUUAGAGCUUUUGAUAUAUAUGGUUCCAGAACAAUCUGGAUGCCUGAAAUCAUGGCAGAUAAACAGGUGCUGAGUUUCGUGGCCAUGCUGAAAGUGCAGACGUAGAAGUGAAAUGCACAGUGAACAGUCAUGCCUGGAUGGGCACACAUGCCGAAUUUUUGUUUGGAUUUCUUUAUACCGGUGGUUGUCUCCACCGGUGGCAGUAAGACUCUGCUGGAUGAGGACCUAAGACUGAUGGGGUGUUUGUCUAUAAUGACAAGUGCUUGACUGUAGCAGCAAAUGAUGAGCAGCCCUAGGGAGACAUCACCACCCACUUGAGAGAGAUCCAUGAAGGGUUUAUGACCCGUUUGAAUCCUGAUCGAGCAUUGCUGUCUUGACCCUCCAGGAACCAAUUGUCUGGAAUACUUGCUCUGUCAGUCUGAGUGAUGUGCUUAGAAUCCCGGGAGCCCAGUUGUUUGUAAAACACAGAGUGAAUUAUCAAGAAGACUUAGAGACUGGAAAUAUUUUAUUGCCAGAUUCCACAGCCAUUUGCUAAAUGUAUUGGUGAGAUCAUGAAAGCCAACAUCCAAUAUGUUGGAUUACCACAAUCGGCUAUAAGUUAUUAUUUGAACAUAUGGGGCAAUUAAUUUUUAAUUUGAUGAUACCAAAUAAAAUGGUUUUGUCUUUCCUGUUUGUCUUUUUUCUACAUCAGGAGCAUUUACUUACCAUAUAGAUGCAAGUCUUUUUCAAAGUUCUGUAGAAAUAUAAACACACAUAUAAAUUGUUCACUAGUAGCCACAAAGUGUGUGUCUAGUCUUCUGAGAAGUUUCUUAAACUGUCUGGAGGGGCAGAGGGUCUCACAGGAGGUGACAUGUAGCUAGAAUAGAGGUAAGAGCAAGCUACCAGAGCUGACUGGCUUUGUUCUGAUUGCUUCUUUCUGCUUUGAGAUCUUUUUGAGAAAAGGCAGGAAUGCAGAUGGAAUAGGUAGAGUCUUACGGUGCUUGGCUUUCUGCUGCUAGUUACUCACCUAACUUCUUUUCCAAAUCUUAACCCAUUUCCCAUGCUAUAGAUUGUUCCACAGUUAAAAAGAAAGAGGGGUCUGCUUGCCUCAAGCAGCUGGGUUAGGUUCAUGACUACAGGUUAAGAUACAGCACUGUUAUGAUUAGUAGUUGCAUUGUUCAUUGAACAAUAUUCUCUAUUUGCUUUUCUGUCCACUGGUAAAGAAUGUCUUGUUAGAAUCCUCUAGUAGUGGUUCAGAUUGCCAGGGGUCUCUAGUGAGGAACACGGUAUUUUCUGUACACAGGGAGGCUGCUUUCAGCUGUUUUUUAAAGCUAAUGGCUAAUGGCUAGAACACUCAGCUAGAGAACAGUGAUCACAAAAGCUUCGAUAAAUGUUAAAAUGGUUAGCUAAAUUAGAAAAAAAAAAGUAGAAAAUCUCUUGUAUAAAUAGGUGAGGGGAAACAUCAAUAUUGCUCAUUGAACAGUCUAUUCUUCUAAUUUGAAAAGAACAACUAUUUGUCAUGGUUCUCAUCCUUGAGAUGGCAGUUAACUAAUUAAAUCCAUAUGAAAUUCAAAAGGCUUUGCUAAGGGACAGUAAUUUUCCUGGGUUGUUGUUAAAGUUGCUGGGAUGAAAGAAUUACUUUGAGCAGAUAAUGGAUGGAUUCUUCUAUUGUGUAUUGAGGUCCUGAAUCGACUAAUCAUGCUAUGGUUAUCCAUCAGUGUGUUACCUUAUAAUUUGAAAUUAAAGGCACCAUUUUCAUUUAUUGCUUACUCUAGAGGUAAUGCUGCUUCCAAUUUGUGAAGACUGUGACCUGGGUGGGAAAACUGCUCCUGGUAAAGACCACAGCAUUAAUCAAGACACAUUUUUGGCUUGGAACAGCUCAUUGUAUACAGAUGGGACCAGCUAGUCACAAGAAUACAAGCUCAGGACUCCCAUUGAUUCUACAUUAUGGAAGUGCCCUCGCUUGAUAGUAUUUGCAUCAUGUUCCCCUUUGAAUGCGGAAAUUAAGUAGAUCCCUGCCAUCACGUCGGUCAUGAUUACACACAUUUGGAAACAUUUCAAGAACAAUUGUGUAGUCCAAAAUGUAAGUGCAUUCAAUAAAAGCAUAACAUAACAUGAUUAUCCUAUAAAGCGAAUCUCCUUCCUGGUCCUCUCCACUACAGUAAAUGCCCUGCUGGCAGGGCAGAGGACACUGACUGAAUUUUAUUCUGAAGUGUCCAUUGUAGUUUGACUCUGUAUUGUAAAUCCUCUUUUGCCUUGGUUUAUGAUGUUUGAAAUGUCUUGUACUGUAGAAAUUUAGCUUUAUAUCUACAUCAUUGUUUUAUUCACUAAAACCUGUUAGAUUAAAAAUGUAAUGAAUGUAUUUUUAGCAACAGAAUAAAUUUAGAGAAGAGUUUAAAAACCCAACUCUGAAGGCAUUUCUAGAUGCUAGAUUAUUGCUCUGUAGCUUUCAUUAAUUACAUUUCUAAAAAACAAAUUGAAAACAAAACACUAUCAUUGAAAAAAAUGUAUGUAAGCCAUUUUAUGUCUUAGGUUAUGCUGACAGAUGUGUAAAGAAACUUUUAAACAUUUCAAACUCUAAUACUCAUACUGCAUAUUAUUUAAUUUAUCAAAAGUUUUUAGUGACAGUCUAAACUCAAUAUGAGGCUUAAGGGGCUUAAUAAUGGUAAUUUAAUUUGGAAUCUUUUGGCAUUUUAAAAACCCUCUGGCCAGUUAACAGAACGCAAUAAAACAUAAUUAUAAAAAUAUGUAGCAUGGCUUCAUAUUUCUACAUUUCCAGGGUAUGUUUUUCUUCUUUAAUCAUCUAUUAAAAACAUAUAUGAA
rnacentral:lncRNA from 1 species